CCUACGGGCGGCAGCAGUGGGGAAUAUUGCGCAAUGGGCGAAAGCCUGACGCAGCGACGCCGCGUGAGGGAUGAAGGUCUUCGGAUCGUAAACCUCUGUCAGCAGGGAAGAACGGUCACUGUGCUAAUCAGCAGUGAAUUGACGGUACCUGCAAAGGAAGCACCGGCUAACUCCGUGCCAGCAGCCGCGGUAAUACGGAGGGUGCGAGCGUUAAUCGGAAUUACUGGGCGUAAAGCGUUCGUAGGCGGUAUGUCAAGUCAAGGGUGAAAUCCCCGCGCUCAACGUGGGAACUGCCUUUGAAACUGGCAAGCGGGAGUGUAGGAGAGGAUAGUGGAAUUCCAGGUGUAGGGGUGAAAUGCGUAGAUAUCUGGAGGAACAUCAGUGGCGAAGGCGACUAUCUGGAACGUAACUGACGCUGAGGAGCGAAAGCGUGGGUAGCAAACAGGAUUAGAUACCCGAGUAGUC
rnacentral:rRNA from 1 species